GACGAACGCUGGCGGCGUGCUUAACACAUGCAAGUCGAACGGGAAGGCCCGGCUUUGGUGGGGUGCUCGAGGGGCGAACGGGGGAGUAACACUUGGGUAACCUGCACUUCACUUUGGGAUAACUUCAGGAAACUGGGUCUAAUACCGGCUAGGAGCUCCUGCUGCAUGGUGGGGGUUGGAAGGUUUCGGUGGUUGGGGGUGGACUCGCGGCUUAUGAGCUUGUUGGUUGGGUAGUGGCUUACCAAGGCUUUGACGGGUGGCCGGCCUGAGGGGGUGAGCGGCCACACUGGGACUGAGAUGCGGCACAGCCCCGUACGGGAGGCAGCGGAGGGGAAUAUUGCACAAUGCGCGGAAGCCUGACCUAGUACCGCCGUGCCCGGGAUGACGGCAUUCGGGUUGUAAACCGCUUUCGCCUGUGACGAAGCGUGAGUGACGGUAAUGGGUAAAGAAGCACCGGCUAACUACGUG
rnacentral:rRNA from 1 species